AAAAAUUGAUAGAUUUCUGAAUAUUCUGUCAAAGGAACUUGUAAGUGUGCCUUUUAUAUAUCGACAUAGAUAUAUUCUCCUCCAUGGAUAUGAACUGAUGAAAGUAAUAUUGUACAAACCAGACGAAGUUUGUCAGCAGCCAUGAACAUGAAAUUCGUUUUAUAGAGAACAUGGCCAUCAGAGGUGCUACCAGAUGUAUAUAACUGGAAAGACCCUGUAUGACAGAGUAAGGAACAUGGCAUACUUGUAGAAUAGCUAACCAUGCAGGAAAACGAUGUAAAAGAAUUGCUAAAUUGGGCGUAGGCCAUAAAUAAUAAGGUUCUGGUUACAAUUUGGAUAUCAACAUGUUAAGGUUGAUAUUCAUUUGGUCUCAUAUGAUUGCAUGACAUGCAGUUAGUUCUCUACUGCAAUGUAACAACUAUUUGUUUGUGCCCUCAACAUGACUUAUAUAAGAGGUGUGAAUUUAAAUAGAUAGUUGCUUCUUUCUAAUCAUAGUUAUUGGAAUAUAAUGCAGCUUCCAUUGCAGCUCAGGGCAUGUUCAUGGUUGGAACAAGAAGCCUGUCCAUUACAACUCAUCGAUCGAUGCGAAAACACAGGACAAGUCGGGUAUUCAGUUACUAAUUGUGGCUAGGACGCCCAAUUUUUCUGGGCAUUUUAUUUCCUCACAGUAUCCUUCUUCCGCUAGUAGUUGGUUAUAUGAGCUUUGGGAUGUGCUUUUUCUUGGCUGACAUACAGGGUCUGCUGACUGAUGUGGCGUAGCUAUCAUUUGCUGACUGAUGUGUAGUCUGCAAAUUUCUUCAAAUGGUCUAGUGUUCUUCAAAUAAUGAAUAAGAUAUGAAUCACAUGUGUCGGACAGAUGUGGUUUCCUCAAGUGGUUUGAGAAUACAAGUUGGUACUCGCGGCAAAGGAGCAACAACUGAGUGUAGGUGCCCCUGUUGCAACUGGAUUGCAAUUUGCAGAAGCUAAUCGCAAUGGUGUUCCCAAUUUUAUUGAUGGCUCAGGUUUCCAGAGGAUGACCAUUUUCUGUGAUGGAAGAAAGAUGGACAAAUUAAUUAAUUUGGUUCAGGCUCCAGUGGUGAUCAGCAUUGUCAUUGUAGUUGUAGUGUUUUUUCGUGUAUUAGUGCUGCGAGCUGUGGAUGUAACAGGAAUGCAGGUUCUAGAUUUUAACAAUGUAAUAUCUGGUUCUGAAUGUAAUUGUGACUCUCUUUCAAUGAAAAUGCUGUUAUCUGAAA